rnacentral:rRNA from 1 species
CCGCCGGCGACCGGCGCACGGGUGAGUAACACGUAUGCAACCUGGCCGUGACAGGAUGGAUAACCGGGAGAAAUCCCGCCUAAUACAACAUAAUGCCGGGAGGGGACAUCCCCUGCCGGCCAAAGGGGGCGACCCCGGUCACGGAUGGGCAUGCGGCGCAUUAGGUAGUUGGUGGGGCAACGGCCCACCAAGCCGACGAUGCGUAGGGGUUCUGAGAGGAAGGUCCCCCACAUUGGAACUGAGACACGGUCCAAACUCCUACGGGAGGCAGCAG